UACGGGGGGGGGCAAGCGUUGUUCGGAAUUCCUGGGCGUAAAGGGCUCGUAGGCGGCCAACUAAGUCGGAUGUGAAAUCCCCAGGCUUAACCUGGGAACUGCAUCCGAUACUGGAUGGCUUGAAUCCGGGAGAGGGAUGCAGAAUUCCAGGUGUAGCGGUGAAAUGCGUAGAUAUCUGGAGGAAUACCGGUGGCGAAGGCGGCAUCCUGGACCGGCAUUGACGCUGAUGAGCGAAAGCUAGGGGAGCAAACGGG
rnacentral:rRNA from 1 species